GUGCUCGCUACAGCACAAGUACUAAAAUUGGAAUGCUACAGGGAAUAUUAGCAUGGCUCUUGUGCAAGGAUGACAUGCAAAUUUGUGAAGUGUCCGCAUUUUAA
ensembl:snRNA U6 U6 spliceosomal RNA